GGCUCAGUAGCUUAGAUGGUAAAGCGCUCGUCUAGCAUAUACGUGUCGUGGGUUCAAAUCCCAUCUGGCUG
rnacentral:tRNA from 2 species